GAUGAACGCUGGCGGCGUGCCUAAUACAUGCAAGUCGAGCGAACAGACGAGGAGCUUGCUCCUCUGACGUUAGCGGCGGACGGGUGAGUAACACGUGGAUAACCUACCUAUAAGACUGGGAUAACUUCGGGAAACCGGAGCUAAUACCGGAUAAUAUAUUGAACCGCAUGGUUCAAUAGUGAAAGACGGUUUUGCUGUCACUUAUAGAUGGAUCCGCGCCGCAUUAGCUAGUUGGUAAGGUAACGGCUUACCAAGGCAACGAUGCGUAGCCGACCUGAGAGGGUGAUCGGCCACACUGGAACUGAGACACGGUCCAGACUCCUACGGGAGGCAGCAGUAGGGAAUCUUCCGAAAUGGGCGAAAGCCUCACGGAGCAACGCCGCGUGAGUGAUGAAGGUCUUCGGAUCGUAAAACUCUGUUAUUAGGGAAGAACAAAUGUGUAAGUAACUAUGCACGUCUUGACGGUACCUAAUCAGAAAGCCACGGCUAACUACG
rnacentral:rRNA from 1 species